GACGAACGCUGGCGGCGUGCUUAACACAUGCAAGUCGAACGGAAAGGCCCUGCUUUUGUGGGGUGCUCGAGUGGCGAACGGGUGAGUAACACGUGAGUAACCUGCCCUUGACUUUGGGAUAACUUCAGGAAACUGGGGCUAAUACCGGAUAGGAGCUCCUGCUGCAUGGUGGGGGUUGGAAAGUUUCGGCGGUUGGGGAUGGACUCGCGGCUUAUCAGCUUGUUGGUGGGGUAGUGGCUUACCAAGGCUUUGACGGGUAGCCGGCCUGAGAGGGUGACCGGCGACAAUGGGACUGAGGGACGGCCCAGAAGCCUACGGGAGGCAGCAGUGGGGAAUAUUGCACAAUGGGCGGAAGCCUGAUGCAGCAACGCCGCGUGCGGGAUGACGGCCUUCGGGUUGUAAACCGCUUUCGCCUGUGACGAAGCGUGAGUGACGGUAAUGGGUAAAGAAGCACCGGCUAACUACGUG
rnacentral:rRNA from 1 species